UACGAAGGGGGCUAGCGUUGUUCGGAAUUACUGGGCGUAAAGGGCGCGUAGGCGGCCCGAUCAGUCAGAUGUGAAAGCCCCGGGCUCAACCUGGGAACUGCAUUUGAUACUGUCGGGCUUGAGUUCCGGAGAGGAUGGUGGAAUUCCCAGUGUAGAGGUGAAAUUCGUAGAUAUUGGGAAGAACACCGGUGGCGAAGGCGGCCAUCUGGGCGGACACUGACGCUGAGGCGCGAAAGCGGGGGGAGCAAACAGG
rnacentral:rRNA from 1 species